AUACGUAUGGAGCAAGCGUUAUCCGGAUUUACUGGGUGUAAAGGGAGCGUAGACGGCAUAGCAAGUCUGAAGUGAAAUCCCAUGGCUUAACCAUGGAACUGCUUUGGAAACUGCCAGGCUAGAGUGCAGGAGAGGUAAGCGGAAUUCCUAGUGUAGCGGUGAAAUGCGUAGAUAUUAGGAGGAACACCAGUGGCGAAGGCGGCUUACUGGACUGUAACUGACGUUGAGGCUCGAAAGCGUGGGGAGCAAACAGGAUUAGAUACCCUGGUAGUCCACGCUGUAAACGAUGAUUACUAGGUGUUGGGGACCAAAGGUCCUCGGUGCCGCCGCAAACGCAUUAAGUAAUCCACCUGGGGAGUACGUUCGCAAGAAUGAAACUCAAAUGAAUUGGCGGGG
rnacentral:rRNA from 1 species